AGUGAACGCUGGCGGUAGGCCCAACACAUGCAAGUCGAACGGCAGCACAGUAAGAGCUUGCUCUUACGGGUGGCGAGUGGCGGACGGGUGAGGAAUACAUCGGAAUCUACUUUUUCGUGGGGGAUAACGUAGGGAAACUUACGCUAAUACCGCAUACGACCUACGGGUGAAAGCAGGGGAUCUUCGGACCUUGCGCGAGUGAAUGAGCCGAUGUCGGAUUAGCUAGUUGGCGGGGUAAAGGCCCACCAAGGCGACGAUCCGUAGCUGGUCUGAGAGGAUGAUCAGCCACACUGGAACUGAGGCACGGUCCAGACUCCUACGGGAGGCAGCAGUGGGGAAUAUUGGACAAUGGGCGCAAGCCUGAUCCAGCCAUACCGCGUGGGUGAAGAAGGCCUUCGGGUUGUAAAGCCCUUUUGUUGGGAAAGAAAAGCAGCAGGUUAAUACCCCGCUGUUCUGACGGUACCCAAAGAAUAAGCACCGGCUAACUUCGUG
rnacentral:rRNA from 1 species